UUUUUUUUUUUUUUGAAUUCCUGCCAUUUUUCUCCAGAACUCGAAGAAACAAGCAAAUGCUGUAUACAUACACGAAUGAGCCUCUCUUAUCCCUGGGGCGUCCACUCUCAACUCAAUUUCUCUUCAACAAUCAGAUGGCUGUCAGUUCUGGAUUAUUAACCAAUUUUGCAGUCCACCCAAAGCUGUUAUUCAAAAUUCAAGGGGUACACCCUAUUCGACCUACUUUUUGGAGCAGGCACAAAAUCAUUAGUUUCCCUCAAAUUUUGGAAAGAAGGGGUGGUGGCACCAGAUAUGUUCAAUCAGUUGGAAGUAACCGUCUUGAGUUUACUUAUGAUGAUGAUGUGAGUAAAGAAUCCCACUGGUCAGUCAAGUUGAAGGAAUUUUUAAGAGGUUUGCGGUUAUUACUUGCAUUUUUGGCUGAGCAACCCGGUCAAUUGAAAUACAUAGAGUGGCCAAGUUUCCAGAGCACGCUGAAGACUGCUACUCUAACACUUGUUAUUGUAGCAUUGCUUAUUGUUGCUCUGUCUUCAGUUGAUGGCGGACUCGGUUAUUUAUUGGCUUUAUAUUUAAGGAGGAAAAAUGUCACAUAAUGUUGCUUCUUAGAGUGCUAGCUCCUUAGAGUGCUAUAAUACUGGUGGGCGGAUCUUUCACGAACCUAACUUAAUCAUGUUGUGUACAUUUAUCAGUAUUAGCAACACGCUGGGCUGUAGAUACACUACAGGUUCAGUUGUAAUGUGGUCUCAUCCUUGGAUGAUGCUCUGACUUCUUACAGCAUUAUGAACAGUUGAUCAAAAAAUAUCAUACGAAAUUACUGUCAGGAAAUUCUAUGUCUCGGCCGUUGAUGAUUUUGUGGUGUGGGCUGGAAACUACACAAUUCUGUUGACGGGACACUUCGAUUUGGGCUGGAAACUACACAAUUCUGGUGACGGGACACUUCGAUUCUAAGGAUGAUGCUGUAAGCUUCUUAAAUUCUGUUAACCAGUCCCAGUACCUAGCUAUCCCCAUGGUAUUGCAACCAGGGCUGUGGAGACCUGCUCAUGUGUUAAAAGAGUUAAAUUAUCUGGAUAGAGUAGAAACUUUUGCUUUUGAUGUGAAUAAUGAAUGCUUCACAGAAGGUUUUACAGAAGCCUGGAUCUUUCGAGGCGGUUGUUUUAAGGAAAUAUUUCUUUCUUGAGAGUUGAGGAUAGUACCUGAAUUCGAGGAAUAUGACUUCGUGAAAUUAUAUACUCCCUCAAUCUCAUCGGAUUGUUUAUAUU